GCCAGUCAUAAGUCACUUCCCCCUCCCUCAGUCUGGUUGUAAUUAUAAAUGGUUGCUAAAUUAAUGAUUGUUAAGUCAAGGUGUCAACUCUGAAUUGAACCUGUCUGAAGCCAUCUUGUGCUGCUUUACAGCUGCCACACCCUAUGGGCAGAGGAUGAGGGGAAAAUAGCUGGUAGACAAACUAAACUAAACUAAAGAGCUCUCUCUUGGGAACCAAGGUCAUCCCAACAGGUGGCAAUUGGAGGAGGAGCAGAAGUGGUCAAGGGAGCCGCCCACCUGCUUUGAUUGGACAAUGUGACCUAUGACACCCGGGGAGGGAAACUUUUGCUCUUUUAAUUACAUGGUAACAGUGGGAACCUUUA